UACGUAGGGUGCAAGCGUUAAUCGGAAUUACUGGGCGUAAAGCGUGCGCAGGCGGUGAUGUAAGUCAGAUGUGAAAUCCCCGGGCUCAACCUGGGAACUGCAUUUGUGACUGCAUCGCUGGAGUGCGGCAGAGGGGGAUGGAAUUCCGCGUGUAGCAGUGAAAUGCGUAGAUAUGCGGAGGAACACCGAUGGCGAAGGCAAUCCCCUGGGCCUGCACUGACGCUCAUGCACGAAAGCGUGGGGAGCAAACAUG
rnacentral:rRNA from 1 species